rnacentral:rRNA from 1 species
AGAUUGAACGCUGGCGGCAUGCCUUACACAUGCAAGUCGAACGCGAAAGCGGGGCAACCCGCAAGUAGAGUGGCGAACGGGUGAGUAAUACAUCGGAACAUAUCCAGUAGCGGGGGAUAACCUGUCGAAAGAUAGGCUAAUACCGCAUACGAUCUACGGAUGAAAGCGGGGGACCGCAAGGCCUCGCACUAUUGGAGUGGCCGAUGUCGGAUUAGCUAGUUGGUGGGGUAAAAGCCUACCAAGGCAACGAUCCGUAGCUGGUCUGAGAGGAUGAUCAGCCACAUUGGGACUGAGACACGGCCCAAACUCCUACGGGAGCAGCAGUGGGAAUAUUGGACAAUGGGCAAAGCCUGAUCCAGCCAUGCCGCGUGAGUGAUGAAGGCCCUAAGGGUUGUAAAG